UGCAAGUCGAGCGGACAGAUGGGAGCUUGCUCCCUGAUGUUAGCGGCGGACGGGUGAGUAACACGUGGGUAACCUACCUUUAAGACUGGGAUAACUCCGGGAAACCGGGGCUAAUACCGGAUAACAUCUUUCUUUGCAUAAAGAGAGAUUGAAAGAUGGCUUUUGCUAUCACUUAUAGAUGGACCCGCGGCGCAUUAGCUAGUUGGUGAGGUAACGGCUCACCAAGGCGACGAUGCGUAGCCGACCUGAGAGGGUGAUCGGCCACACUGGGACUGAGACACGGCCCAGACUCCUACGGGAGGCAGCAGUAGGGAAUCUUCCGCAAUGGACGAAAGUCUGACGGAGCAACGCCGCGUGAGUGAUGAAGGUUUUCGGAUCGUAAAACUCUGUUGUUAGGGAAGAACAAGUACCGUUCAAAUAGGGCGGUACCUUGACGGUACCUAACCAGAAAGCCACGGCUAACUACGUGCCAGCAGCCGCGGUAAUACGUAGGUGGCAAGCGUUGUCCGGAAUUAUUGGGCGUAAAGCGCGCGCAGGCGGUCUCUUAAGUCUGAUGUGAAA
rnacentral:rRNA from 2 species